UCAGCGGGUGCGGGCACGCGGGCGCUGGGCUAGCUGGGCUGUGGGCGAGCGCGAGGAGUUGGGCCAAUUCGGCCCAAUUCGGCCGGGCCGGUCCGUUUGCUCUUUUUUUUUUCUUUUACCCUUUUCUUUUUCUGUUUUUCUUAUUCCUUUGAUAUCUUUUGAUUUUGAACUCCAAAUUGGUCCAGAUAAAUUCCAGAAAAUUUGUAAAAUCAUGUUCUACCAUCAUACAACUUUUGGAAGUAGUUUCCCUAGAAAAUAAAAUAUAUAAAAAUACAUUUGCCCUAUAAAUGCCUCUAGGGCUAUAUAUCUAUUUAGAUCAAAUACUUUUUCAACUCCAAAUAAUUAUCUAAAAAUUAUGGGAUAGCUUAUAUAUGCAUUAAACCCAUUUUAUACAUAAAACCUAUUGGUUUGAAGAUCCAAAGCUCAAAUGGGUGUAAAACCCUAAGGUUCAAGUUGAAAUAAACACUUUUAAAGACUUUUUGAAAUUAACCCUAGGAGGCCUACGUUGGCUUAAAGCAUCUCUCAAAAUGUCUCCGGACAUAAUUGCCUCAU
rnacentral:lncRNA from 1 species